AACGAACGCUGGCGGCAGGCUUAACACAUGCAAGUCGAACGCACCUUUCGGGGUGAGUGGCAGACGGGUGAGUAACGCGUGGGAAUCUACCCUUCUCUACGGGAUAGCCCCGGGAAACUGGAAUUAAUACCGUAUACGUCCUGAGGGAGAAAGAUUUAUCGGGGAAGGAUGAGCCCGCGUUGGAUUAGCUAGUUGGUGGGGUAAAGGCCUACCAAGGCGACGAUCCAUAGCUGGUCUAAGAGGAUGAUCAGCCACAUUGGGACUGAGACACGGCCCAAACUCCUACGGGAGGCAGCAGUGGGGAAUAUUGGACAAUGGGCGCAAGCCUGAUCCAGCCAUGCCGCGUGAGUGAUGAAGGCCCUAGGGUUGUAAAGCUCUUUCAGUGGGGACGAUAAUGACGGUACCCACAGAAGAAGCCCCGGCUAACUUCGUG
rnacentral:rRNA from 1 species